GCGUGAGGGAUGACGGCCUUCGGGUUGUAAACCUCUUUCAGCACAGACGAAGCGCAAGUGACGGUAUGUGCAGAAGAAGGACCGGCCAACUACGUGCCAGCAGCCGCGGUAAUACGUAGGGUCCGAGCGUUGUCCGGAAUUAUUGGGCGUAAAGGGCUCGUAGGCGGUUUGUCGCGUCGGGAGUGAAAACACCGGGCUUAACUCGGUGCUUGCUUUCGAUACGGGCAGACUAGAGGCAUUCAGGGGAGAACGGAAUUCCUGGUGUAGCGGUGAAAUGCGCAGAUAUCAGGAGGAACACCGGUGGCGAAGGCGGUUCUCUGGGAAUGUCCUGACGCUGAGGAGCGAAAGUGUGGGGAGCGAACAGGAUUAGAUACCCUGGUAGUCCACACCGUAAACGUUGGGCGCUAGGUGUGGGAUCCAUUCCACGGGUUCCGUGCCGCAGCUAACGCAUUAAGCGCCCCGCCUGGGGA
rnacentral:rRNA from 1 species